AAUACGUAGGGUGCAAGCGUUGUCCGGAAUUAUUGGGCGUAAAGAGCUUGUAGGCGGUGUGUCGCGUCUGCUAUGAAAACUCAGGGCUCAACUCUGAGCUUGCAGUGGGUACGGGCACACUUGAGUGCUGUAGGGGAGACUGGAAUUCCUGGUGUAGCGGUGAAAUGCGCAGAUAUCAGGAGGAACACCGGUGGCGAAGGCGGGUCUCUGGGCAGUUACUGACGCUGAGGAGCGAAAGCAUGGGGAGCGAACAG
rnacentral:rRNA from 1 species